CGCUUGGCAAUCUUUCCGGGUUUGAAGGUCUCCUUCGUGGCGUCUCUUCUUCUGGAGGGCUGUCAUAUAUUCCAUGGUUGUGGAAGAUUAUUACACCUAGUUUUAGUAUCUAUCGACUGAAUGUAAUAACAAAAUGUCAAAAGGUAACAGUAACGUUAGAUAUCUGGCAAGCAAACAUAUACAACACGUCCAGUGUCGCUAACUAGUUCAAUACUAACGAGGUCUUUUCAGAAACGUCCGGCUGCGAUAUCACAAAUCAAUGAAAUUGUAACUAGAGAAGUGGCUACAAAACGGUUCAGUCUCUGGCUACCUUGUUAGCUGGUUCACUAUUUCACUUUCAGUUCGCUUUUCUACCGCAAGGACACGACAACCGUCCUCUUGAUUUCUCUGCUUCUGACUCUUCAAAGUGUCGUCCCCGUUUCCAAGUAGCGGGGGGCCUUUCUGGACAGCACUUUGUGACAGUGGCUGAUGUAAACGUUUUAUUUAUUAUUAAAUACCAUUGAUUUGAUUAAUUUGUGGAAUAUGAGGACAAAUUACCCCCCCCCCCCAAUACCAAAUGCAUGCUCAACACAUUUUCUCCAUUAUAAUUAUUAAUAUAAUUAUAUUUUACAUGUUGGUUAUUCAUUUUAGUUCAUAGAUCAGUCAUAGACCGACUCUGUGUAGGUAGUUAUGUCUUGUUCCAUCCAUAUAGUUGCUAGAAUAUACCGACUGUACCAUUAGCUUGUUUACACUGAGCUGCACUGGGGUCGGAAAGUCAUCGUUACAUUCACUAUGGAGCCAGGUGAGAUAUGGUUCGGGAAAAUGUACCUCCAUGCGUGGGAUGUGAAAUGCCACUGUAGUCCUCAUGUUGGAGUACAGGGACAUAUCCCAUCCCCUGCAUGGAGGUACGUUUUCAGAGGGUUUAUCUAGGGUUUCACUGUGUUUUUCAUAUUAACCAUGAUAUUGCGUUCCGACCCCCCGGUUCAGCUCAGUCUUAACAAGCAUAAACAGUAAGGUUUGUGUCUGCUGGAAAUCCACAUAGAACACAAUCACUCGGUGAGCGAUUACACACGUCUGAGAGAACAGUAAGGGUUGUGUCUGCUGGAAAUCCACAUAGAACACAAUCACUCGGUGAGCGAUUACACACGUCUGAAAGAACAGUAAAGUUUGUGUCUGCUGGAAAUCCACAUAGAACACAAUCACUCGGUGAGCGAUUACACACGUCUGAAAGAACAGUAAGGUUUGUGUCUGCUGGAAAUCCACAUAGAACACAAUCACUCGGUGAGCGAUUACACACGUCUGAAAACAUGGCGACUUUAGUGGAGGCAACAUCCUCGCAGCAGUUUGAGGACUUGCUAUCAAAGGCUGGCAAGUAUGUGU
rnacentral:lncRNA from 13 species